AACAAAUCCACAGGGUGCCUGUGCUGCUGGACUUGGCCCAUAUUUUUGUUUACAUCAUUCACCUUCUUGGUGGAACAGAGGUAUCAGAGGGAGCUCUGAGAGUGCUGGGCUUUCUGGAAAAGCCAUACCGAAAGCAGCUUUCCUCUGCUAUGUGCUUCCAGAAUGCUGCUUUUGUCUUGGAGCUGGCUGACUGUGGACUGAACUCGUUCAAAUGACUUGUUGGGGUUGCUGUUGUCAGGCUACAGACCUGGGCCACCAGGAGGAGAGGGUAGCACCACCCCGACUGCUUCUAGAACCAUGGAACCUCAGGCCACCUGGGAGUGAGCAUCAGCAGGGACCUCAUCGUCAGCUGGAUGGCCACACAGACCUGGGUUUCCAUCUUGACUUCAGCUUCUCAGUAUGGUUUUCUAUCUGUAGGAGACGGACGGCAAUGCACACUUACUGGGUGAGAAUGGCUCAAUUGACCGUGGAGGCUGGGGAGCUUCAUGAUCUUCCACCUGCAAGCUGAAGACUGAGCACAGCCAGGGGCAUCGUCCAUAGGUGGAGGGAAGAUGGCAGGGACCACUUGAGGAUAGAAGACCAAUGUUCCUGUCAGGGGAGAUGAAAUCCUCUCUUCUCUAUUUGUUUUGUUCAGGUCCCACCAACUUUAUGAUGCCUAGUCUCCUUGGGGAAGAUGAACUGCUUGCUGUCAUCUCAAGUGCUAAUAUAGUCCAGUGACCCAUGCAGAAAUACUGUUUAGCUUAAUGUAUGGGAACCUCAUGAUCCCAUCAAGCUGACACAUAGAAGUUCACCAUCAUGUAUUUAUUCCCACCAAAUAAACCACAAAUGGUUUCUAAUACAUGCAAUCCCCUUUAAGAAAUGCACUAGAUUUUAAGUAUAUACUAGAACUGUAAAAAUUAGUGUAAAUGACAGUACAGCAACUUAUCAAACAGAAAAAUCAUGUAUAAUCACACAUCUUAAUAGAAUUAUUAUCACAUUGGAAGUUUUUAAAAUUUCUUUAACUACUACACAUUUCCAUUCUUAUUUUGAUGCCUCAUCCAGCUCUAUGGAGAUUCCCACUGUGACCACAGCUCUUCCGGAGACUGCGGUUGGCCACGAGGACCUGACAGAUGGGAGAGAAAUGGGUUCCAUCAUGAAGAACCAGCAUCAGAUGUGCCCCACGUCUGCCACAGCCCUAUUUAGCAUUUUAUUUCGCUAAAUAUCAGCCCACUUGAAGAAAAGUUCUGUCAGUAGAUACAGGGCAAUUGUGCAUAGGAAAUUUCUCAUUUUGUACAAAGAUGAAAUGGAACGCCCUGAGAUAAGAUGUAGAUGUGAAGCCACCUGUGUCCAGCGUGGGAAGAUGAGAAGUACAUGGCAGAGUCCUUGUUCGAAGGUCUAACAGUCAAGCUGAUUGUAACCAGACAGCCAAGAGGCAUGAGGACUGUGAAAUUUGGUGAUAGUGAAGUCUGUGUACUACGUGGCUCUCAGGAAGGGCUUCUUGGACAUGACAGCACUUCACAUUUGCCAAGAAGGACGGGUAGGAUUGCCUGGGUGAAGAUAAACACAGGAGGCAAUUUGAGGGUCCGUGUGAGCUAGAUAGGGUGGCAGAGCUAGACCGCUGUUGCGGGGGACACUCUUACUGGUUGGUGGAGCUGCGCAAUAAUGAGAAACUGUAUCAGCGGUUCUCAAACUUAUGGUCCCUGCAACUCUUUACACUCAUAAGAAUUACUGAACACAUCAAUACUUUUCUGCUCAUGUGGAUAAUUUCUGUUCAUAUUUACUGGAUUAGAAAUAUAAAGAUUAAUGUUCAUGAAAAAAAUAUGUUUUCCAAAAUAAAAAAAUUUUAGUGAGACAA